rnacentral:lncRNA from 1 species
CCUGCAGUCAGACUUCCUCUCAUUCUUUUCAUCUAAAAUUUUACAGUUCUGCCUUGUGUUGACUGAGGAAGGGAUUUAUCCAGGGCUACUGCAAAGGCAAGGGAAAGUAGGGAGAAGAAUCAAGCUGAUAAGGAGAUUUCUCUGAUAUCUUCAGUCCUGAGAGAUCAGCUGUUGGCUUUUAGCUUGAAGAUGAAUGUAUGACCACCUUGGAAGGAUUCACAAUGGUCAUUUAACUGCUUUCAUGUGAAAUUGGUCAUUGUGCACAGCAAAUGAAUGCCAUUGCAGGGUCUUUUCCCAAAUGGUGUUUGCUUUAAAAUGCAUUUUCAUUGUCUCCUGUGUGGAGCUGUCUGUAAUCGCAUCUAAAUACCAGAGACAAGUCCUUCCGCAGCUUUGAAGAGCAGUGGGAAUACCUGGAGCUGUCCCAUGGGUGACACCUUUCCUGCCAGUUUCACCAGAAGAAGGUGAUUUUAGAGGCUGUGCCCAAGCAGCAAUGGCAUCUGCAUGGUCUCCAUGCAGUCGUGAUCCUUGUGCCUGUGCUGGGCACCCC